rnacentral:rRNA from 1 species
UACAUGGGGUGCAAACGUUGCUCGGAAUAUUGGGCGUAAAGCGCGCGUAGGCGGUUACUUAAGUCGGAUGUGAAAGCCCUCGGCUUAACUGAGGAAGUGCACCCGAAACUGAGUAGCUAGAGUACGAAAGAGGGUCGCGGAAUUCCUGGUGUAGAGGUGAAAUUCGUAGAUAUCGGGAGGAACACCGGUGGCGAAGGCGGCGACCUGGGUCGAGACUGACGCUGAGGCGCGAAAGCGUGGGGAGCAAACAGG